rnacentral:rRNA from 1 species
GAUGAACGCUGGCGGCGUGCCUAAUACAUGCAAGUCGAGCGAACAGACGAGGAGCUUGCUCCUCUGACGUUAGCGGCGGACGGGCGAGUAACACGUGGAUAACCUACCUAUAAGACUGGGAUAACUUCGGGAAACCGGAGCUAAUACCGGAUAAUAUAUUGAACCGCAUGGUUCAAUAGUGAAAGACGGUUUUGCUGUCACUUAUAGAUGGAUCCGCGCCGCAUUAGCUAGUUGGUAAGGUAACGGCUUACCAAGGCAACGAUGCGUAGCCGACCUGAGAGGGGGAUCGGCCACACUGGAACUGAGACACGGUCCAGACUCCUACGGGAGGCAGCAGUAGGGAAUCUUCCGCAAUGGGCGAAAGCCUGACGGAGCAACGCCGCGUGAGUGAUGAAGGUCUUCGGAUCGUAAAACUCUGUUAUUAGGGAAGAACAAAUGUGUAAGUAACUAUGCACGUCUUGACGGUACCUAAUCAGAAAGCCACGGCUAACUACGUG